rnacentral:rRNA from 1 species
CCCGCACAAGCGGCGGAGCAUGCGGAUUAAUUCGAUGCAACGCGAAGAACCUUACCAAGGCUUGACAUACACCGGUAACGCCCAGAGAUGGGUGCCCCUUUGUGGUCGGUGUACAGGUGGUGCAUGGUUGUCGUCAGCUCGUGUCGUGAGAUGUUGGGUUAAGUCCCGCAACGAGCGCAACCCUCGUCCUAUGUUGCCAGCGGGUCAUGCCGGGGACUCAUGGGAGACUGCCGGGGUCAACUCGGAGGAAGGUGGGGAUGACGUCAAAUCAUCAUGCCCCUUAUGUCUUGGGCUUCACGCAUGCUACAAUGGCCGGUACAAAGGGCUGCGAUACCGCGAGGUGGAGCGAAUCCCAGAAAGCCGGUCUCAGUUCGGAUUGGGGUCUGCAACUCGACUACUUGAAGUCGGAAUCGCUAGUAAUGGCGGAUCAGCAUGCCGCCGUGAAUACGUUCCCGGGUCUU